rnacentral:rRNA from 1 species
UAAUACAGAGGGUGCAAGCGUUAAUCGGAAUUACUGGGCGUAAAGCGAGCGUAGGUGGCUUAAUAAGUCAGAUGUGAAAUCCCCGGGCUUAACCUGGGAACUGCAUCUGAUACUGUUGGGCUAGAGUAGGUGAGAGGGAGGUAGAAUUUCAGGUGUAGCGGUGAAAUGCGUAGAGAUCUGAAGGAAUACCGAUGGCGAAGGCAGCCUCCUGGCAUCAUACUGACACUGAGGUUCGAAAGCGUGGGUAGCAAACAGGAUUAGAUACCCUGGUAGUCCACGCCGUAAACGAUGUCUACUAGUCGUUGGGGAACUUGAUUCCUUAGUGACGCAGCUAACGCAAUAAGUAGACCGCCUGGGGAGUACGGCCGCAAGGUUA